rnacentral:rRNA from 1 species
UACAACUUGGAAUCGGCGGAGAGAGAGGAAAGGGGUGAAGAGACAGCGGAGAGGAGGGCACCGGAAGCCGGUCGGCGGCGGCGGCGGCGGCGCGCUGGAGACGAGGAGGGGCCGCAGCUUGAGUCCGGCGGCGAGGCAGGGGACAGGGGCAGCGUGGAGGGGAGUUCGGCGGCCGACCGGGAGAGGGUGAGCAGGAGGAGGGACGAGGGUAAGGAGGGAACACCCUUGGGAUCGGCGACGGGUGAGGGUGAGCAGGAGGAGGGGCGAGGGGAAGGACCGCCGCGUGGACUGGCGGCGCGCUGGAGACGAGGAGGGGCCACAGCUUGAGUCCAGCGGCGAGGCAGGGGGCAGGGGCAGCGUGGAGGGGAACUCGGCGGCCGACCGCGAGAGGGAAGUGGCCUCCUCAACCCACUCCGGCACUCCUCGCCUCCGUCACCGAACAACGUCUGCGACGACGCCGAGGGAAAAGAAGGAGCGGUAGAAGAAGCGGAGGGAGGAGACGUGGGUUCAUUACGCCGGUCGGGAGCAGUUGGGGCCGAUCGCCUAAGUAAUCGGAAGAUGAGGUUAGCGAUGGGGCUCUAGGUAGCAACAACACAACAACGACCACUCUCGAUCCUCCUUCUCUCCCUCCGUUUCCCUACCUCUAUCUGUCCCCUUCCUCUUUCCCAGAAAGAGACAACUAGAGGAAAAACACCGCACCAUACCGUCCUUUAAAUAGGUAGGUGGGCACCACUCUUGAACGACAGCGACCACGAUUUGACCACAACGACGUCGUCUGUUUACGGUACCUAGUUCACGGUAAGUCUACAACGUCCUCAGUUCACACACAUUUAGAAUUUCUAAUCUGGUUACCUAUAGUUUCUUUUCCUCGAGCUGGUCCACUUCAAGAACAAACAACCCAACGAUUGUUUAACGUCGACACACGACGUGACGACCAUGGUAAGUAUAGGAUCUUCAACAUCGAAGGUCGGAAAAUCAUUGAUGUGUUUUGACGGUUUCGAAGUGUCGGUAGUACCUUAGUGGUGGCCAGGAGGGAACGAGUUCAGUACCUCCCCGUCGGCCAUGGCCACCCACUCCUCUAGGUACUGACCUGUUGUAGUACAAGACAAAUUUGGAUACGGAGGGGUCCCUUAGUGGUGGCCAGGAGGAAAAGAGUUCAGUACCUACCCGUCGGCCAUGGCCACCCACUCCUCUAGGUACUGACCUGUCGCGUCUGCGGGUCUACCGCUCCUUCUGCUCAGUAGCAGCGACGGUUGGAGGCGGAGCCGGGGGUGUGGGGACUGCGCUCGAAACGGAGGAGACGGCGACAACGUAGAAGAGGUCACGGAGGAGGGGUAGCCUGAGCAGACGGAGGGACAGUACGUCUAAUCUCUCUAAGAAAAAUUUGAGUUGGACACAGUAUUCGAUGAACCAAGGAAGAGUAAUGAACCUCCUACGUACCUAACCUCUCUAAUACCUACU